rnacentral:rRNA from 1 species
UACGUAGGGGGCAAGCGUUGUCCGGAUUUAUUGGGCGUAAAGAGCGUGUAGGCGGCUUGGUAGGUCUCGCGUCAAAACCUGAGGCUCAACCUCAGUUCGCGUGGGAAACCACCUAGCUAGAGUCCGGAAGAGAAGAACGGAAUUCCCAGUGUAGCGGUGAAAUGCGCAGAUAUUGGGAAGAACACCAGUGGCGAAGGCGGUUCUCUGGGACGGUACUGACGCUGAGACGCGAAAGCGUGGGGAGCGAACAGG